ensembl:snRNA U1 U1 spliceosomal RNA
UGACUCUACCUGGCAGGGGACAUACCAUGAUCACAAAGGUGGUUUUCCCAGGGCGAGGCUUAUCCAUUGCACUCCAGAUGUGCUGACCCCUGCAAUUUCCCCAAAUGUGGGAAACUUGACUGCAUAAUUUGUGGUAGUGGGGGACUGCAUUCGCGCUCUCCCCUU